CCUACGGGAGGCAGCAGUGGGGAAUAUUGCACAAUGGGCGAAAGCCUGAUGCAGCGACGCCGCGUGAGGGAUGACGGCCUUCGGGUUGUAAACCUCUUUCAGCAGGGAAGAAGCGAAAGUGACGGUACCUGCAGAAGAAGCGCCGGCUAACUACGUGCCAGCAGCCGCGGUAAUACGUAGGGCGCAAGCGUUGUCCGGAAUUAUUGGGCGUAAAGAGCUCGUAGGCGGUUUGUCACGUCGGAUGUGAAAGCCCGGGGCUUAACCCCGGGUCUGCAUUCGAUACGGGCAGACUAGAGUGUGGUAGGGGAGAUCGGAAUUCCUGGUGUAGCGGUGAAAUGCGCAGAUAUCAGGAGGAACACCGGUGGCGAAGGCGGAUCUCUGGGCCAUUACUGACGCUGAGGAGCGAAAGCGUGGGGAGCGAACAGGAUUAGAUACCCUGGUAGUCCACGCCGUAAACGUUGGGAACUAGGUGUUGGCGACAUUCCACGUCGUCGGUGCCGCAGCUACGCAUAACGUUACCCGUCCGUCGGGUAGGUACGGCCGCCGAACGGACGUAAAACGUUAAAACGGUAAAGUUAGUAACGGUCGUGAGACGUGCCGAACGGACGACGACGAGGGAGGAGG
rnacentral:rRNA from 1 species